UACGGAGGGUGCGAGCGUUGUCCGGAAUCACUGGGCGUAAAGGGCGCGUAGGCGGCGCGGAUAGUCGGCGGUGAAGCCAGCCGGCUCAACUCCGGGUCGGCCGUCGAUACUUCCGGGCUUGAGCACUGUAGAGGCAGAUGGAAUUCCGGGUGUAGCGGUGGAAUGCGUAGAGAUCCGGAAGAACACCGGUGGCGAAGGCGGUCUGCUGGGCAGUUGGCUGACGCUGAUGCGCGACAGCGUGGGGAGCAAACGAGG
rnacentral:rRNA from 1 species